CAAUCAAAUACAAGAACUCGUCUCUAUGGAAACACUGAACGCUAAAACAGGAAAGGCUAAACAAAGCUAAGGAAAUCCAGGUGGUUUUAACACAUCAGUCUUGUUUCACUUCUCCACAAUCAUCCACACUAUCAGACAAACGCAGGUGGUGUGGUAUUGUUGUCUGAGUCUUAUGAUUGUGUGCAUCCUCUUUAUGUGGCUAUUGAAAGCUGUCUUCGCACCUGCUCGGAUUCCUGUUGGGUUUAUCCUUCUGCUGUUUUGGUGAUGAGGUCUGAAAAAUCUACCAGUAACACGUUUUCUCUUGUCCAUUUACAGGUGACAAAAGAUGAAUUCUGGAACUAUUACUGUGGAGUCUUCUGUUGAUGUUGUAUAUUUUAUUUCAAUGAUGAAAACUGCAUGGAAGUUAUGAGGAGUUUUAAGGAUACUAAAAAUGAAUCUGGCAAAAAAGUUAAAUUCCUAAAUUCUGUGUAAAAUGUGUUUAUCAGUAACAAAAUAUGUUUAGGGUAAAAUUACUGCAUCCAUCAUAUUUGUUGUAUAUAUUGAUACAUGAAAGUAUUGUAAUUCAGAUUUAUUUAUGCAUACAAUGGCAGAGCUUAUUUUACAAAAUGUGACUCAUUUAAUAAAUGUUUUACAAUGGUUAUAAAAAUGAAAAAUCUCUUCAUAUGAAAUGUAAAACAUUCUAUGGAU